CGGAGAGCAGCCCUGGGUGAGGCCCUUUGGAAUGGAGAGGUCUCAGGAGUGAAGCAGCAGCCAGAGGACUGAGAGUGUCUGGAAAGUGAGGAAUUGGUUAAAGUAACGCCGGUGGCUGCAACAGAGAGGGGCGUAGGUCCCUCUGGCUGCAACAUGGAGUAUAUUGUAGGAGGGUACCAUUGCCUGCAGUGAGGCGUUAAGGACGCAGCAUGGAUGAGAGAUGAGGAAAGCUGAAAUGAAACAGAGGCAGGAGAAAUGGAGAGGAGGACAUGGCCUUGAGGAAUUUCCAGGACAUAAAUUUGGCAUCACUUCUUGGACCAUGAGAGGAAGAGGGAGCAGGAAGAAUCAAAGAUGAAUCCAAGAAUGAACAAAUCUAAUUUUUGAAAUAAUGCAAUGAAAAGUAGAACUGGUCUGUUUUCCUAGGAGAGGAUGGUGAAAUAGAGGUAGUUUGUGUGAUUUGCCCAGAGUCCCAUGAAGAAUUCACAGAAGAAUUGAGACUACAGUCAGUAUGGCCACAUUCCCAGAGAACUGCUUUUUCUGCCAUACCCUGUGGUAAUAAUAUUGUCACAAGACAAUUGGACAGUGUUUCACAUAUUCAGUGAUGGAAGAAGAGUUUAAUUGAAAUAAAUAAAUGUCAGGAAAAAUUAAUUCGAUUGUGAUAACACUUAAGGAAUGGAGUGUUCACUCUCUAGGAGAAGUUGGGCUAAAUGAUGAAAUGGAGUGUCCGUGUAUGUGAUCUGUGGUGCUGUUUUGCUGUAGUUAAUUCCUAUUUUUAACUUGAAAUGUGUUCUGACUGCGUUAGUGCCAAUUUUUUUGAGACCGGUGUACCUAUCCUAUCAGGUACAUUCGAUUUACACAAGUACAUUCUCUUUUCAGUUCUCCCACCACUUCUCUUUAUUCAAACAAUUAAAACCUUCUUGAAUAUUAUUUGGUUAGUCCUUUGAGUUAAUGAAUCAAUUUUACAGGAUCUGCUUCUGUCAUUUUUCAUUAACAUUCCCCAGACAAAUUUGUACUGCUUACUAA
rnacentral:lncRNA from 10 species